AGAGUUUGAUCAUGGCUCAGAUUGAACGCUGGCGGCAGGCUUAACACAUGCAAGUCGAGCGGUAACAGGGGUAGCUUGCUACCUGCUGACGAGCGGCGGACGGGUGAGUAACGCGUAGGAAUCUACCCAGUAGCGGGGGAUAGCCCGGGGAAACCCGGAUUAAUACCGCAUACGCCCCACGGGGGAAAGCAGGGGAUCUUUGGACCUUGCGCUAUUGGAUGAGCCUGCGUCGGAUUAGCUAGUUGGUGGGGUAAAGGCCUACCAAGGCGACGAUCCGUAGCUGGUCUGAGAGGAUGAUCAGCCACACCGGGACUGAGACACGGCCCGGACUCCUACGGGAGGCAGCAGUGGGGAAUAUUGGACAAUGGGGGCAACCCUGAUCCAGCCAUGCCGCGUGUGUGAAGAAGGCUUUCGGGUUGUAAAGCACUUUCAGUGGGGAGGAAAUGGUCAUGGUUAAUACCUGUGACAAUUGACGUUACCCACAGAAGAAGCACCGGCUAACUCCGUGCCAGCAGCCGCGGUAAUACGGAGGGUGCAAGCGUUAAUCGGAAUUACUGGGCGUAAAGCGCGCGUAGGCGGUCUGGUCAGUUGGGUGUGAAAUCCCCGGGCUUAACCUGGGAACUGCAUCCAAUAUUGCCAGGCUGGAGUAUGGGAGAGGGUAGUGGAAUUCCACGUGUAGCGGUGAAAUGCGUAGAUAUGUGGAGGAACACCCGUGGCGAAGGCGACUGCCUGGCCCAAUACUGACGCUGAGGUGCGAAAGCGUGGGUAGCGAACAGGAUUAGAUACCCUGGUAGUCCACGCCGUAAACGAUGUCAACUAGCCGUUGGAGGACUUGAUCUUUUAGUGGCGCAGCUAACGCGAUAAGUUGACCGCCUGGGGAGUACGGCCGCAAGGUUAAAACUCAAAUGAAUUGACGGGGGCCCGCACAAGCGGUGGAGCAUGUGGUUUAAUUCGAUGCAACGCGAAGAACCUUACCAGGUCUUGACAUCCUGAGAAUCCUGUAGAGAUACGGGAGUGCCUUCGGGAAUUCAGUGACAGGUGCUGCAUGGCUGUCGUCAGCUCGUGUCGUGAGAUGUUGGGUUAAGUCCCGUAACGAGCGCAACCCUUGUCCUUAGUUGCUAGCAGGUAAUGCUGAGAACUCUAAGGAGACUGCCGGUGACAAACCGGAGGAAGGUGGGGACGACGUCAAGUCAUCAUGGCCCUUACGACCUGGGCUACACACGUGCUACAAUGGCCGGUACAAAGGGCAGCAAAGCGGUGACGUGGAGCCAAUCCCAUAAAACCGGUCGUAGUCCGGAUUGGAGUCUGCAACUCGACUCCAUGAAGUCGGAAUCGCUAGUAAUCGUAGAUCAGAAUGCUACGGUGAAUACGUUCCCGGGCCUUGUACACACCGCCCGUCACACCAUGGGAGUGGGUUGCACCAGAAGUGGCUAGUCUAACCUUCGGGGGGACGGUCACCACGGUGUGGUUCAUGACUGGGGUGAAGUCGUAACAAGGUA
rnacentral:rRNA from 1 species